ACUGCAGGACUAUUAUUUACCUAAGAUAUUUUAUAUAUUAAUGCACCUGCUUCCCAAGGCCUGAAAGCUGAGCAUCUGUAUAUUCUCAUCGGGGUCUCAGUGGUCUUCCUCUUCUGUCUCCUCCUCCUGGUCCUCUUCUGCCUCCAUCGCCAGAAUCAGAUAAAGCAGGGGCCCCCCAGAAGCAAGGACGAGGAGCAGAAGCCACAGCAGAGGUGAGGCCCCUGGGAAUGACUCCUGGACCUCCACCCAGUCCUCGGCCGCCAGGCUGCCCCUGAGGUUCACUUUUAUUUUUCCUCUUAGGCCUGACCUGGCUGUUGAUGUUCUAGAGAGGACAGCAGACAAGGCCACAGUCAAUGGACUUCCUGAGAAGGACAGAGAGACAGACACCUCGGCCCUGGCUGCAGGGAGUUCCCAGGAGGUGACGUAUGCUCAGCUGGACCACUGGGCCCUCACACAGAGGACAGCCCGGGCUGUGUCCCCACAGUCCACAAAGCCCAUGGCCGAGUCCAUCACGUAUGCAGCCGUUGCCAGACACUGACCCCAUACCCACCUGGCCUCUGCACCUGAGGGUAGAAAGUCACUCUAGGAAAAGCCUGAAGCAGCCAUUUGGAAGGCUUCCUGUUGGAUUCCUCUUCAUCUA
rnacentral:misc_RNA from 1 species